CUUGAAAAUUUAGCAAAGUGUAAUAAUAGAUUCAUCUAUUUAGUUUUAAAUGCUUUUCACAGAGUGUUUAAUCUAGAGAUGAAUACUCUAGUAAUUAAGGGGUUAUCAAUAUGUUAAUAAGAUUAUGUCAUGUGAUAGUUUCUAAAACUCCUGUUCGGGAGUAAAGGGCAGUUUCAACAGAUAUGCCCUAAAUUGUAGAAAACAUACUCUACUGAACAAGACCAAAUAAAUUGCUUAUGGCAAAGAUCAAUUAUUGCUACUGAUAUAAAACAUGUACCUUACUAUUUAAUACAUAACAUACAUAUUUUGUUAAUCUUAUCUAUAUUUUGUGGUUAAUAUGAGUGUUUACAUAUUACUACUUUUAUCUAAUUUUACAUUGUCAAAUUUUAUACAGGGAAUAUUGUAAGCAUGCAUACAGCUAUAUACAUAAUAUAAGAGUCUUAUUUCAGUAUUUUCUGUGUAAAUUAAGUUUUAAUUAUAGUGACUUAUUAUGCAUUUUUUAAUUGUUAAUUAUAAUCUUGCAGUGUAGAGAAGCUUUUUAUAAUCAGGUCUCAAAAUUUGCUCUAACUUAUUUUUAUGAUGCAUAAAGUUCUAGAGAAUCUAAAUCAGGGGUAACAUUAGGAUAACAUUCCCUGUUAAAAAAAAAUACCGCAUAAUGCCGUAAAAGGAGUUCUUAUGGGAAAUUGCAUUGUCAAUAUUUACAGAAAUGCAACCUACAGCUUACCUGAUAGUAUUUUUAUAUUUUGAGAGGACCUUAAUAUGUUUUAUUUUUCGAACAUUGUGUCUCAUUAACUGUGAUAUUUUGUAUAACACCAUUCUCUUUUGAAUUUAAUAGC
rnacentral:lncRNA from 1 species